GCACAAGCGGUGGAUGAUGUGGUUUAAUUCGAUGCAACGCGAAAACCUUACCCACCUUUGACAUGUACGGAAUCCUUUAGAGAUAGAGGAGUGCUCGAAAGAGAACCUGCACACAGGUGCUGCAUGGCUGUCGUCAGCUCGUGUCGUGAGAUGUUGGGUUAAGUCCCGCAACGAGCGCAACCCUUGCCAUUAGUUGCUACGAAAGGGCACUCUAAUGGGACUGCCGGUGACAAACCGGAGGAAGGUGGGGAUGACGUCAAGUCCUCAUGGCCCUUAUAGGUGGGGCUACACACGUCAUACAAUGGCCGGUACAGAGGGUAGCCAACCCGCGAGGGGGAGCCAAUCCCACAAAGCCGGUCGUAGUCCGGAUCGCAGUCUGCAACUCGACUGCGUGAAGUCGGAAUCGCUAGUAAUCGCGGAUCAGCAUGUCGCGGUGAAUACGUUCCCGGGUCUU
rnacentral:rRNA from 1 species